UAUUAAGUUUACAAAGCCAUGACACAAUAUUAGAAAACUCAGGUCCAUUAUUGUGAAUCUCAUAUGAUAAUUCCUUGGAGGUCCAAUUAAACAUGGCCAUGGUCUAGUUUGGGACCGGAAUCAGAACUAUCUUCAAACCAAAACUGGAAUCGGCCCCUUGCAAUCUGAUUCAGGGCCCUCUACUCAAUGGACCAGAAUCGGCCAGUGGCCCUCAUUGGGUCCAAUUCAAAUUAGUGACCUAAAAGCUCAUUACAAGAGGAUUCUUCUUAGAAUCUUCAUCAAUCUGGAAUUAAUG
rnacentral:misc_RNA from 1 species